UGAGGAAUAUUGGUCAAUGGGCGGGAGCCUGAACCAGCCAAGCCGCGUGAGGGAAGAAGGCCCUAUGGGUCGUAAACCUCUUUUGUCAGGGAACAAAAGCGAGUAUGUAUACUAGUCUGAGUGUACCUGAAGAAAAACGCAUCGGCUAACUCCGUGCCAGCAGCCGCGGUAAUACGGAGGAUGCGAGCGUUAUCCGGAUUUAUUGGGUUUAAAGGGUGCGUAGGCGGCGAUGCAAGUCAGCGGUAAAACGCCCGGGGUCUCAACCCCGGCGAGCCGUUGAAACUGCAGUGCUAGAGAAGGCGAGAGGUACGCGGAAUGCGCAAGUGUAGCGGUGAAAUGCUUAGAUAUUGCGCAGAACUCCGAUUGCGAAGGCAGCGUACUGGCGCCUGACUGACGCUGAGGCACGAAAGCGUGGGGAUCGAACAGGAUUAGAUACCC
rnacentral:rRNA from 1 species